UGCUCUGUGGCUUAAGUAGUUAGAGCAUCCACUUCUGAUGCAGAAGGUCAUGGGUUCGAACCCCAGCUGAGUCA